AGCUUUGCGCAGUGUCAGUAUUGUAGCCAAUGAGGUUUAUCCGAGGCGCAAUUAUUGCUAAUAGAAAUUUGAAACUAUAAACA
rnacentral:snRNA from 1 species